rnacentral:lncRNA from 1 species
AAACAUAUACACAGAAGGAUCUCCCCCAUCAGGAUCCCAUUCCUUUAAUCCCAGCACUAGAGAGGAAUAUAAGGCAGGAGGAGACAGGAGCUCAGUCUGAGGAGCAGUGCAGUCUGAAGAUGCAGUCUGAGGACAUGAUCUCCCUUUCAGUUUGAGCAUUGGCAGAGCUAGUAAAUGUUUGGAGGAUGAUGCCAUCUGUGAGAAAAAGAUAAAGGACUCCCGGCUUCUGCCUUCCUUGGUUACCACUCUCUCUGGACCCUGACUGCUUACUCAGAGGGAAGGUGGGUGAUUUGGCCAUCCCAUUCCGGAACUGCUGCCAAUCCUUGGUGCAAGCACAACAUUGCCAAGAACUCCCAAGACUAUUGCUGUCCUCAGUCUUGGUCAGAAAAGCUUCUGUUUGUAGUGAAUGGCAGUUAAUACAGAGACUCACCGUUGGUCAAGAUGUCAAGAAUAAGUGACCAUGCAAGUUCUACCUUCAAUGGGACAUCUGUGUCACCCUUUCCAAGGCUCAGGGAAUACUGAAAAUGAGAGGAUGGAGAGAAUAUAAGGAUGAUGAGGAAGACCCUGAAAUAGUUGUGUGAGCAUAGCAUGUCAUUAUACUUAUGAAUGCAUAUCACCUGUGGUUGCCUACCGAGAUACUCUAUAGGACUGGGCCUGUCAAUCAAUAUUCAGUCACUAAAGUGGAAGGGCUCAUGGGGCCUGCUGUCUCCCUGAGGAGCUUAUUGGCUGCUGAUGGCUGUUGGGGAGCAGAGUCAUUGUAUAUUUACUGGGUCUUAUGUAUCCCAUGCUAGCCUUGAACUCAAAAAUCCAAGGAUGUACUUAAACUUCUGAAUCUUCCAUUUCUACCCACCCAGUGCUGGGAUUACAGUGAUGUCCAGGUCCCUUGCUCCCUUGGCAGCUACAUGGAGUCUUCUUUGAGACCCUCUGUUGUCCCGCGCGAUCGUCUCGCCAGCAAGAACGACACAGGACACUCGGAUCCUUCUGCAGUAAAGCUUUAAUGCAUCUUGAGAGAGAGAGAGAGAGCAUAAGCUUACAGAGCGGAGACCCUGAACUCCCAAGAACCCAUCCCUUAUAAAGGCUGGCAACUGCCACCUCGGACGUGUUACCCCCUGACUCGCUGCAGCUCAUCGGACCAUAUGACGCCACGGAAGAGGCAGAGACCAAGGGAUGGAAAGUUACCCAGCGCCUGCGCACUAACUUGUUUACAUUCGGUGCCUGCCGGAUGCAGGCGCCAUCUUGUAAUGGAGAAUGCAGGGACGGCUCCCUACACUCUGUGUUCCUCUUCCCCGAAUUUCCCUAGUCUUGUAGCCCCACCUAUACUUCCUGCCUGUCUAGAUCCUGUCUGUCCAUUGGCCAAAACAGCUUUAUUCAUCAACCAAUAAGAGAAACGUAUGUUCACAGCAUAUAGAAGGACAUCAUCAUCCCCCAUCAUCUCUUUAGUUACAUUUCAGAUGAUCACUCAUCUUCUGUCUGCCUACAGAUUGAUCUGCAUAUGCCUCCUGUGUCUCCCAGAUGCUAUUGCUGUCAUUCUAGGGCAAGUAGCAGUAUAGUAUAGCCUUGGAGGGGGAGGGCUCUGGUAACAGAUGGCUUAGACCUGAGUCCCUGUUCUUUCUAGGGAAGUUCCUUAAACUUCCCAUGUCUGUUUCCUUACCUACAAAAUAUGGUGAUGAUGCUAAUAAUCUCUACCUCACAGGUUGGUAUGAGGUGGUUGCCCCUGACAUAUAAUAAAUAAUAAGGCCCUGGGAAGCAAUGUCCCAGAUUAAAUGUCACCAUCUGUACCUUCACUUUGCUUCUGGAAGUCACUCUCACAGUCACUCUUUGGUGACCUGGUUCAAAGGAACUCAUUUACCCUGAACCUUAUCACCUUAGUUAGCUGCUGCCUUAGCUCUCUAGCUCCUCUCUGUUCAUUGAAUUGUGACGAGUUUUAGUUCCUUGGCUGAGCUGUCUCUUUUCCUUUCUGACUGGCAACCCCAGCUGGAGUACCUUUCUUCUCUCUUGUGCUUGUGUCAUUUAAGCUUCUCUUGACAACACUUUCAACCCUUUUGCCUAUUUAUGAUGCAGUGUCAAAUUCUGGAUAAAUCUAGUAGAAUUGUCUUUGCUUUCGUUCUUGUGUCACCGAAACUAGAAGGGAGUCCAGAAUAUGGCAGAUUGAUGUCAUCAGAAACAUUGGGGUUCUUUAAUCCUUAUAGAUCCUAAAGCCCACAGGUGGCCCUCCUUAUGUGCCUUUAGUAGCUUCCUUUCCUACUUCCUACACCAAAUUGUCCCAACUUUCCUCAUCUUUCUCAUACAUCCUACCCUGGAUGUUUCCUUUACCAAACCUGGAUGGUGUGAACAAUAUGUAUUCCUACCAUUGAUUUUCCAGAAUACUUUCCUCUGUACCCUUAUUUCUUUCAAUUUUUUCCCCUCCCACAGUGCAAAAUUAGUUCCUUGGCUGGGGUAGUAGUUCCCGUCUGUUCACAUGGCUGAUGAUAGUCUAAUUCCGUGAUGACCUUUAUGACUACACAGUCAUCUGAUGCCCAGCAAGGUUGAGGAACUGGAACCUCUAGAGUUUCUACACUAAGGGGCUCUUGCCCUGUAGGCGCCACAGAUGUGCUUGCUGAAAACAUAACCAGCAGAGGGCACUGUACAGCCAGGACAUAUCUCAGGCUUGUCACAUGCUGUGGAACAUUUGGCAGAGCUUUUUGAAUGCAGCUCUAAGAGCACACUAUUACAACCACAUCAUUUUACUGGAAAGUUAUUAGUCUCUUCAUGGAAUAUCAGAAGGUUUUAAAGUCCUGACAUCAGAGGAUGGAGGUGACAGAGCAAAAAAUGAAAAAAAAUUCAUUUGUCACUUAAAAUUGCCACAUGGUAGGAAUGCCACUAGAAAAGAGAAGACCCUCACUGCAGAUCAUCAAAAACAGACACAAGAGUCCUCAUCCAGUGGCUGAUGGAAGCAGAGACAGACAUCCACAGAAAUACACUGAGCUGAAAUCUGGAACCUAGUUGAAGAGAGGAAGGAAUGAAGAACGAAGGGGUCUAUACCAGGUUGGAGAAACCCACAGAAACAGUUGGCCCGAAAAAGGGAAAGCAUAUCGACCCCAGACGCUCUUUGGGAGGCCAGUACGGGACUAAUCCAGCCCCCUCAUCAUGGAUGCCAAUGGGGAGGCCCCUGCACUCCUGGGAGCUUCCGGAGGUGGACUGGCGUUUUGCCCUGGCCCUCCCAGAUUCACUGCCACCCAAUGGUGGGAGCAAGAUCAAAAAUGACAACUGAAGCUAGUGUGGACUUGAG